GUGUUUAUGGAAAGGUGAGGCCGUUAGCACUCCCCAUAAGGAUGGGAUGCCCCAUGUCCCCAUGUCCAUAAGGAUAGGACACAUAAAUUGGUUAAGGCACAACUUGACCACAUUUUUAC
rfam:Papilio machaon contig40171, whole genome shotgun sequence.